rnacentral:rRNA from 1 species
AGCGAAAUUCCUUGUCAAGUAAGUUUUGACCCGCACGAAAGGCGCAAUCAAAUGAAUACUGUCUCAGAGAGAGACUCGGUGAAAUAGACAUAUCCGUGAAGAUGCGGAUUUCCUUACAUCAGUACAAGAAGACCCCGUGAAGCUUGACUGUAUCUUGAUAUUGGUUUCCAGUUAUUUUUGUGCAGUCUAGGUGGGAGAAUUAAAUUUCAUCAUUGAGAGACCACCCUGAAAUAACUAGAAAUCUUAAAGUGAUUCCUUGAAGCAGGACACUUGACAGUGUCUGGAGGGCAGUUUUUUUGGGGCGAAAACCUCCUAAAAGGUAACGGAGGUUUGCAAAGGUUUCCUCAAACUGGACGGAAAUCAGUUGUUGAGUGUAAAGGCAAAAGGAAGCUUGACUGCAAGACUUAUAAGUCGAGCAGAGGCGAAAGCCGGCCUUAAUGAUCCGACGGUAACCAAGUGGAAGGGCCGUCGCACAAAAGAUAAAAGUUACUCCGGGGAUAACAGGCUUAUCUUCCCCAAGAGUUCACAUCGACGGGAAGGUUUGGCACCUCGAUGUUGACUUUUCGCAACCUGGGGCGGCAGUAUGUCCCAAGGGUUGGGCUGUUCGCCCAUUAAAGCGGUACAUGAGUUGAGUUCAGAACGUCGUGAAAGUCUCGCGACCCCGUAAAGUGAUUUGCGAGAAAAAUUUGCCUCAUAUCGGUGAAGCCACUUUUUAAAGGAGGUAACCCCGAGGGAAGUCAACAGAUAAAUUAAAAAUUCACAAUAGUUAAUGAAUGUUUGACCCCGUAAAGACUUUGGGAUUAUUCUCAAGAUAGCCAUUAUUUGAAUGGUUAUAAUACGGCAACUCUUUAUUUUAUUUAAAAAAGAUGAAGGUAUAGUCUAUGCCUUCAGUAAUGAAGGACUUUUAUAGAGACAGUUUGGUCUAUAUACGAUGUAAGCGUUAGAAUAUUGAGAGGACUUUUCCAUAAUACGAGAGGACUUGGAAGAACGUACCCCUGGUGUACCAGUUCUUAUACCAAUAGGACGCGCUGGGUAGCUAUGUACGGAAAAGAGAACUGCUGAAAGCAUCUAAGUAGGAAACUUACCUCAAGAUAAUUAUUCUCCAUUAGACUCCGGUUAGAUAAACCGGUUGAUAGGUUUUAGGUCGAAGAUUUGUAAGAAUUGGAGCCAAGAAAUACUAAUGAUCAAUUGUUUUUGAU